AGUGAACGCUGGCGGCAGGCCUAACACAUGCAAGUCGAGCGGCAGCGCGUCCGACCACCCUCGGGUGGUCGGAUGGCGGCGAGCGGCGGACGGGUGAGGAAUGCAUCGGAAUCUGCCUCGUUGUGGGGGAUAACGUAGGGAAACUUACGCUAAUACCGCAUACGACCUACGGGUGAAAGUGGGGGACCUUCGGGCCUCACGCGAUGAGAUGAGCCGAUGCCGGAUUAGCUAGUUGGCGGGGUAAAGGCCCACCAAGGCGACGAUCCGUAGCUGGUCUGAGAGGAUGAUCAGCCACACUGGAACUGAGACACGGUCCCGACUCCUACGGGGGGCAGCAGUGAGGAAUAUUCGGCAAUGGGGGCAACCCUGACCGAGCAACGCCGCGUGGAGGAUGACGGUUUUCGGAUUGUAAACUCCUUUUCUCAGGGAAGAGCGAGGACGGUACCUGAGGAAUAAGUCACGGCUAACUACGUG
rnacentral:rRNA from 1 species